GAUGAAGAACGCAGUGAAAUGCGAUAAGUAAUGCGAAUUGCAGAAUUCAGUGAGUCAUCGAAUCUUUGAACGCACAUUGCGCCCUGUGGUAUUCCGCAGGGCAUGCCUGUUCGAGCGUCAUUUCAACCCUCAAGCCUCGCUUGGUGUUGGGCCCUGCCCGCCGCGGCCGGCCCUAAAGAUAGUGGCGGCGCCGCCUGGCCCUCAGCGUAGUACAGCUCUCGCUCCAGGGUCCGGCGGCAGCCUGCCAGAACCCCCCAACUCUGUGGUUGACCUCGGAUCAGGUAGGGAUACCCGCUGAACUUAAGCAUAUCAAUAAGCGGAGGGA
rnacentral:misc_RNA from 1 species